AAGUCUGAACCAGCCAUGCCGCGUGGAGGAUGAAGGCCCUCUGGGUUGUAAACUUCUUUUAUAGGGGACGAAAAAGGGUCUUUCUAGAUCAACUGACGGUACCCUAGGAAUAAGCACCGGCUAACUCCGUGCCAGCAGCCGCGGUAAUACGGAGGGUGCAAGCGUUAUCCGGAUUCACUGGGUUUAAAGGGUGCGUAGGUGGGUUAGUAAGUCAGUGGUGACAUCUUCGAGCUUAACUCGGAAACUGCCAUUGAUACUAUUAGUCUUGAAUAUUGUGGAGGUUAGCGGAAUAUGUCAUGUAGCGGUGAAAUGCUUAGAUAUGACAUAGAACACCAAUUGCGAAGGCAGCUGGCUACACAUAUAUUGACACUGAGGCACGAAAGCGUGGGGAUCAAACAGGAUUAGAUAC
rnacentral:rRNA from 1 species